rnacentral:lncRNA from 1 species
GAGCAGAGGCUGCUGACCAGGCUCGGAGGGGCCGGCGGAGCGCUCUGGGGCUCCAUGCGCUGCACCCUCGGGCCCAGGAGGCGCUGUCCCGCGAGCAGAGGGCGCCCCUCGGAGCCUUGCCGCGAGGCAGGACUAUAGAAUGGUACCCUAAAUGGCAAGAGACUACAGGGCUGAUCAGAGAGGAUGAGAAACAAGGAAGGCUUCUGAAGGAGCUCUGGGCUGUCCCAGCUCCCAAAGUCAACACCGAGACCCCGGAUGUGUCCAGGGACAUCCUGACGAGGCCGAGGGGCUGAGGAGCCCUAGGGUGUUCCCAGGGAGAUUCCUGAAGCUGACUAGGAGCCAGUACAUUUGCCUGCUGUUUGGUGAGUCUUCCUGCUGGAGGGGGCCCUCCCUCUGUCCUGUAAUUGCAAACCCCCUCACAAGGAUGUCCAAGAAAACUGGUGACAGCGACAGAGACCUGGGCCACGGGGCGGGGGGUAGGGGGGAGAAGAGAGAGUCUGUAUUCUCACUGUAUGUACUGCUUCAACUGUUUUUAACUAUGUAUAUGCAUUUACUUCUCAAAAAUGAAAAAUAGACUUUCAUUUUAAUGACACUUUGUCAAAUUAAAAUAUAUUUUAAAAAUCAUCUUCACUGCAAUAAAAGCAUAUGCUCAAGCAAGACUGGAGGGGGCGCCAAGCAGGGAUAAUAAUCUUUUUAUUUAUUUUUUUCAUUAAAAAAUUUUUUUGUUCCUCUUUUUAAGGUCACACCCAUGGCAUCUGGAAGUUCCCAGGCUAGGGGUCCAAUGGGAGCUGCAGCUGUUGGCCUACGCCACAGCCACAGCAACACCAGAUCCAAGCCGUGUCUGUGACCUACACCGCAGCACACGGCAACACUGGAUCCUUAACUCACCUAAGUGGGGCCAGGGAUCAAACCUGCAUCCUCAUGGAUACCAGUUGGGUUUGUUACUGCUGAGCCACAAUGAGAACUCCUAAAAUUUUUUUUAAUGUGGUUUAAAAAAUACCAUAAAACCUAUCAUCUUUUUUUUUUUUCUUUUUUUUUCAAUGGCUAUACCCAUGGCACAUGGAAGUUCCUGGACCAGAGACUGAAUCUGAGCCACAGCUGCAACCUAUGCUGCAUGCUGGGCUGGGGAUCAAACCUGCACCUCACCAGUGACCUGAGCCGAUGCAGGUUCUUAAUCCACCACGCCAUAGCGGGAACUCCUCAGCUUCACCAUUUUCAACGGUAUAGCUCUGUAGCGUUAACUCUCUUUACACUGUUGUACAAUAGAUCUCUAGAUCUUUUUCAUUUUGUGAAACUGAAGCUCUAUACCAUUGAAAAACAACUCCUGCUGAUAAUCUUUUUUGAUAUCUGAGGAAGCUGAAGCACAAGGGCGCCGGAAGGGCAAGAAACGUAUUUCCCUCCAAGGGAGUUCUUCUAGCAUGUAUACGAUCCGUCUGUCGCCUGCCUGUAAAACUGUCCGAGGCCCCUUCCUCCGGCAAGCGUUGCAUGAGCCAUUCCCUCCCCCGAGUGCCCCUCACGUCCCCCAUCUGUCCCCACCUCCAUCUUGUCACCCCCCCUCCACCCGACUCGAGACUCAGCAUCUUGAACCUGAACUAUUUCACUUUGUCACCGGGCCCCCUGCCUCGAUUCUUGCCCCCUCACCCCUGCUCCACAGAGCAGCCAGAAUGCCCUUUCCAAGCACAGAUCUGAUCAUUUUACCCCCUUUUAAAAUAUCGUUUCAACUACGGAGCAAAGUUCCAAGGCUCCAGCCUGGCACGCAAGGCCUCCGUGAUCUGCUUUGGGCCGGUCUCUCCAUCCCACAUUCCAUCUCAUCCGUCCACGCAUCUCACACCUUUUAUGCUACUGUGAAUUUUUAAAAACAUUUUAUGUGCUUUCUUGUUGUCGUGCCUUUGUCCAUACAUUUCCUUCCCUGGCUUCUCUGCUUCCAAAAACCUCUUCAAGGUCCAGCUCAAUGUCUUCCGUCCCUGUGAACACUCUGAGCACCGAUCAGAAGUCACCCCUUCCUUCUUCCUUUAAGCCCC